rnacentral:rRNA from 1 species
GAUGAACGCUAGCGGCAGGCCUAAUACAUGCAAGUCGAACGGGAUCCAGAUCAAAGCUUGCUUUGGUCUGGUGAGAGUGGCGCACGGGUGCGUAACGCGUGAGCAACCUACCCUUGUCAGGGGGAUAGCCCGGCGAAAGUCGGAUUAAUACCGCAUGACAUCAUUGAGAGGCAUCUUUCGAUGAUCAAAGAUUUAUCGGACAAGGAUGGGCUCGCGUGACAUUAGCUAGUUGGUAAGGUAACGGCUUACCAAGGCUGCGAUGUCUAGGGGCUCUGAGAGGAGAAUCCCCCACACUGGUACUGAGACACGGACCAGACUCCUACGGGAGGCAGCAGUAAGGAAGAUUGGUCAAUGGACGGAAGUCUGAACCAGCCAUGCCGCGUGCAGGAGGACGGCCCUAUGGGUUGUAAACUGCUUUUAUACGGGAACAAACGUCGGUACGUGUACCGGUCUGAGUGUACCGUAAGAAUAAGAAUCGGCUAACUCCGUG